rnacentral:rRNA from 1 species
UAGGGAAUCUUCGGCAAUGGACGGAAGUCUGACCGAGCAACGCCGCGUGAGUGAAGAAGGUUUUCGGAUCGUAAAGCUCUGUUGUAAGAGAAGAACGAGUGUGAGAGUGGAAAGUUCACACUGUGACGGUAUCUUACCAGAAAGGGACGGCUAACUACGUGCCAGCAGCCGCGGUAAUACGUAGGUCCCGAGCGUUGUCCGGAUUUAUUGGGCGUAAAGCGAGCGCAGGCGGUUAGAUAAGUCUGAAGUUAAAGGCUGUGGCUUAACCAUAGUGCGCUUUGGAAACUGUUUAACUUGAGUGCAAGAGGGGAGAGUGGAAUUCCAUGUGUAGCGGUGAAAUGCGUAGAUAUAUGGAGGAACACCGGUGGCGAAAGCGGCUCUCUGGCUUGUAACUGACGCUGAGGCUCGAAAGCGUGGGGAGCAAACAGGAUUAGAUACCCUGGUAGUCCACGCCGUAAACGAUGAGUGCUAGGUGUUAGACCCUUUCCGGGGUUUAGUGCCGCAGCUAACGCAUUAAGCACUCCGCCUGGGGAGUACGACCGCAAGGUUG